AGUGAACGCUGGCGGUAGGCCUAACACAUGCCAGUCGAACGGCAGCACAGUAAGAGCUUGCUCUUACGGGUGGCGAGUGGCGGACGGGUGAGGAAUACAUCGGAAUCUACUUUUUCGUGGGGGAUAACGUAGGGAAACUUACGCUAAUACCGCAUACGACCUACGGGUGAAAGCAGGGGAUCUUCGGACCUUGCGCGAUUGAAUGAGCCGAUGUCGGAUUAGCUAGUUGGCGGGGUAAAGGCCCACCAAGGCGACGAUCCGUAGCUGGUCUGAGAGGAUGAUCAGCCACACUGGAACUGAGACACGGUCCAGACUCCUACGGGAGGCAGCAGUGGGGAAUAUUGGACAAUGGGCGCAAGCCUGAUCCAGCCAUACCGCGUGAAGAAGGCCUUCGGGUUGUAAAGCCCUUUUGUUGGGAAAGAAAAGCAGCAGGUUAAUACCCCGCUGUUCUGACGGUACCCAAAGAAUAAGCACCGGCUAACUUCGUG
rnacentral:rRNA from 1 species